GAUGAACGCUGGCGGCGUGCCUAAUACAUGCAAGUCGAGCGAACAGACGAGGAGCUUGCUCCUCUGACGUUAGCGGCGGACGGGUGAGUAACACGUGGAUAACCUACCUAUAAGACUGGGAUAACUUCGGGAAACCGGAGCUAAUACCGGAUAAUAUAUUGAACCGCAUGGUUCAAUAGUAAAAGACGGUUUUGCUGUCACUUAUAGAUGGAUCCGCGCCGCAUUAGCUAGUUGGUAAGGUAACGGCUUACCAAGGCAACGAUGCGUAGCCGACCUGAGAGGGUGAUCGGCCACACUGGAACUGAGACACGGUCCAGACUCCUACGGGAGGCAGCAGUAGGGAAUCUUCCGCAAUGGGCGAAAGCCUGACGGAGCAACGCCGCGUGAGUGAUGAAGGUCUUCGGAUCGUAAAACUCUGUUAUUAGGGAAGAACAAAUGUGUAAGUAACUAUGCACGUCUUGACGGUACCUAAUCAGAAAGCCACGGCUAACUACGCG
rnacentral:rRNA from 1 species